rnacentral:tRNA from 1 species
GGCUCUGCUUUAACACAAAUAAAGCUCGCCUUGCACGCGGGAGACCCGGGUUCGAUUCCCGGCGGGGUCA